GUCCAUCAGCCGCGGUAAUACGUAGGUGGCAAGCGUUGUCCGGAUUUACUGGGCGUAAAGGAUGUGUAGGCGGAUAUUUAAGUGAGAUGUGAAAUCCCCGGGCUUAACUUGGGGGCUGCAUUUCAAACUGGAUGUCUAGAGUGCAGGAGAGGAAAGCAGAAUUCCUAGUGUAGCGGUGAAAUGCGUAGAGAUUAGGAAGAAUACCAGUGGGGAAGGAGGCUUUCGGGACGGUAACUGACGCUGAGGCAUGAA
rnacentral:rRNA from 1 species